GUCCAAUAUAAAUAUUGCUAAUCCAGCUUUGUUUUCACUGCUAUUUGCAUAAUAAAUGCUUUCCCAUCCCUUCUUGUUCAGUCUGUAAAUGUCUUUAGGUCUGAAAUGAGACUCUAUAUAUGGUCUUGCUUUUUUAUCCAUUCAGUCACUCUUUAUCUUUUGAUUGGGGUGUUUGGUCCAUUUGUAUUCACAGUAAUGAUUGAAGGGGGCGGACUCAGUGUUAGGCGCUCUGCAUUUCCUGUGCAGUCUAAUGUGGUGGUUCCAUGUGCAGGACUUGAACUCACAACCAUGAGAUCAAGACUCUGAGAUUAAGACCUGUACUGAAAUCAAGAGUCAGAUGCUUAACCAACUGAGGUCCUGUGUAAUGUGAAGGCUGAGUUGACAGCCCAGCCUCUGGCCAAGCCAAGAAGACUUCACCACAAGUUCAUUAGGUAUAGAUGUCAGCAGCAGACAAUAGCAGAAAGCACAAGGAUGGGACUGAGCCAACCAUAGCUCACUGGAUCCAGCAGUCAUAGGAUGAUGGCUAAAGUCGUCAAGUUUGGAGCAGACUCCCUGGUACAAUUUCUGACUCCCUCAUUUACAAUGUACUAAAAUUGUGCACACACACACACAAAAAAAUCACCUCUCUUUGCC
rnacentral:lncRNA from 1 species